AACGCAGCUUGCGCUCUCUGGUAUUCCGGAGAGCAUGCCUGUUUCAGUGUCAUGAAAUCUCAACCACUAGGGUUUCCUAAUGGAUUGGAUUUGGGCGUCUGCGAUCUCUGAUCGCUCGCCUUAAAAGAGUUAGCAAGUUUGACAUUAAUGUCUGGUGUAAUAAGUUUCACUGGGUCCAUUGUGUUGAAGCGUGCUUCUAAUCGUCCGCAAGGACAAUUACUUUGACUCUGGCCUGAAAUCAGGUAGGACUACCCGCUGAACUUAA
rnacentral:misc_RNA from 2 species